rnacentral:rRNA from 1 species
AAUGAACGCUGGCGGCAGGCCUAACACAUGCAAGUCGAGCGAGAGGCGGACGGGUGAGUAGUGUAUGGGGAUCUGCCCGAUAGAGGGGGAUAACUACUGGAAAAGGUGGCUAAUACCGCAUACUAUGGGAUGAACCCAUAUGGGAUGAGCUAGUAGGUGGGGUAAAGGCUCACCAAGGCGACGAUCUCUAGCUGGUCUGAGAGGAUGAUCAGCCACACUGGGACUGAGACACGGCCCAGACUCCUACGGGAGGCAGCAGUGGGGAAUAUUGCACAAUGGGCGCAAGCCUGAUGCAGCCAUGCCGCGUGUAUGAAGAAGGCCUUAGGGUUGUAAAGUACUGUCAGCGGGGAGGCGUUACCCGCAGAGGAAGCACCGGCUAACUCCGUGCCAGCAGCCGCGGUAAUAC